rnacentral:lncRNA from 1 species
UCUAACAUGGAAACAAUGUUAAUAGAGUUUUCAUUAACACGCUAAAUACUGCUAUACAUACAACUCAAUCAAUCAACCAAUAAAAUCAUGCCAUCAAAACUUUCUAUGGCCUACAAUAUGAUAAUCAUUGCUAGCAAACACAAGUAAUCACAACCAAUAUGCAAAACCACACAGACAAAAGGGAAGUUAAAUUCAUGCCAUAUUUCUAGCCCGUAUGUCAGUAACCAUGGCAUCAAUGAGAUCUAGACAGACCUAGACGGAGUGAUAAAGAAGCAACAGGCAAUACAAAUCCUUUUCAAAACCCGUUAUCACCUCUGAAGAAUACAUUUCUCAUACAGAGCAACAAGAUCUUUCUUCAUGGGAUUCUUCAACUGAAGCAACUGAUCACCAAAGUUAUGUUUUGUCAGUUCUCGCUUAAGCUUCGGGAUGGUGAACUUUGUAUGAUCCUCUUCAUUUGCUUGCUGACUAAGAUUGUCCUCCGCACCCUCAUAGAUUGA